GAGAGAGAGAGCGAGAGGAAAGAAAGAGUGAGCGAAAGAGGAGUGAGAGGGCGAGAUAAAGGAUAGAAGGAGAGGUUGCAAGUAGGUGCAGCUUUUUACAGACAGCUUCUUCCCCAUCUUGGAAAUAAUAGAAUGCUGUAUCCCCGCGGAUCCGUGAAGAGAGACAUUGCAAUGCCGAGGAUUGGCAUCACUUCUUAAGAGACCCGUUAUAUUUACCGAGCCCGCGUUACUGCCGCUGCUGCCGAUUCCCAUUGCACUGCUGCAUUUCCUCGCUGCCCUGAAAAGAGAAAUCAAUGCUUUUCACUAUAUCGAAGCAGGCUUCCAGUGCUCCCAGUACAGCUAUUUGGGCGAAAAAAAAAGCAAAAACGAAGAUUUUGUUUUUCACUGUACAAAAGUGGGAAGUUUCUUUGCCCUUUUGUGUCUGAUCUUCCAAACUACAAGAUGCAGGCAGCCGGGCGUUUGUGGAAGACGUGUGGCUGAGAGGGAGUCGGUUGCUAUCUUUGGUUAUCUAGCUGUAUGAGUGUUAUUCAGCCGUCAUAAAGCUAGAUAACCGAAAGUAGAAAUGACUUCCAAACCUGCGUACUGCUCAAGAAAAAAAGCAAGCCAGAAAGGAAGAACGAAGACACACGAAAUGACCGACAUCUAAGGCGACAAAAUAAAGCAACUCACGAAGACUCAAAAUAAGGACAUCAAUGAACUGUGCAGUCUUUUAUUGAUCAAGGAGUGGCCUGGAACCACAGCAUUGUGGAGGAUGUCAGUGUAAAGCAAGUGUCUGCCAGCUAUUCCCAACAGUUCCUUGAUGGAGAAAGGAAAAAAGGGUCGCUAUUAAAAAAUAAAUAAAUAAAUAAAUAAAUUAUAAUUUGAAAUGCCAACCUCCCCGCUCCCAACACUGCCCCUUUCCCCCUAACCCCCCUCCGGACACUCUAGUGCCAUCUGUGCCCCCUGAGAAUCGUAGAGAGAGAAAAACGCUCCCACUGAUGCCAACUGGGAAAAAGCCGCUGCCGUCGUCCGCCCUGCCAGAUGCCAUUUUGUAUGUCGGAGGACUCGUGUGUGUGUGGGUGUGCUGAGGAGGCCAUCUUGUAAAGAAAUCCUCACUGCUGCUCCUAAAAUGGCUGUUGGCAUGAGAUUCACACUGCCAGCUGGACAAGGAUCAAUCCAUUAAGAAGCCAUGCCCGCUGCUUUGUUCCAAGACAGCCUGGAAAGAGAUUGGACCACUCUGUAGGCCUGCUGAUUGUGGAUUUUCUUUUUGCAAGGGAAGAGCCUGGGGUUGACUUGUGAAUUCACUGCUGUGCAGGGGAUGAGCCUUCACUGCAUCGGGGAUGAAUGCUGAUUACAGAGAAGAUUUGAAGAGAUGCAAACUGAAAAUAAGAGACUUGCAGUUUUAGUGACUCUCAGCAUGCGCGUGAUUCCACAAUAACUGAGUGUAACCCUAUUAGAAUUCACCUUCUUGAGGAAACAGUUCACAUGGGAUAAUGUAUUUAUCCUAUUACAGAUCAUUGAUAUAAAUACAGCAAAUAUUCAGAUCAUUUAGGAUUCUCCUUAUAACAGGAGUACUGUACGUUUCAGAAUUUUUUGUGACCUGACUGUUUAAAAGUAGAUUCACCAUUUACAUAGCUGUUAGAUUACAAAGUGCAAAACCAAUUAUCAUGAAGAGGUAAGAAGGCUCAUUUGUGGAACAGCUUUAUGGAUUGUACCUCUGUGGCAUGGCCAAGGUUCCCUCAUUGGAUAAGAAGCCCCAACUUAUAUGAUAACUAGAGGGGGGAUCAAGUAUAUAAGGAGAGUGCAACAUUGGUACAAGAUGAUAAAUAUCAUGGUUUUCGUAUCACGAGUCAGAUAUAGUUAUACCUAUCAAGUGCAUUUGAAUAAACAGUCUGCCACUCUGAUUGUCACAACCGAACCGGUCGUUAAGAGGCUGGCUGUGCUGUGCUGUGAAUGGGAGUCUUGGUAACGUUGGUAACGUUGCUUAGCGCAGGAUUUAGAAUCGCAGUGAAAGUGAAUGGAACUUCCCACUUGCCAUAGGGUGUGUCUAAGCUUGCCUGAAUUAAAGGCACGCUUGUCCCACUCAUCUAGAAGGUGUUACAGGGAGCUUGUCGUGAUUUUCCAGCUCCUCCACCUGAGCAACGACAACAGACUCCCAAAUAACAAACCUGCCACGCUGCCAGCAUGCCAGCCCCCUCCACCACGGAGAUAUUUAGAAGCUACUGAUGUAUUUCAGUAGGGAGUUUGCUCAUCUGGAGAUUAAAAAAAGGAAGCCACUCACUUUACAAUUCUGAUGAGAGCUGGGUGAGGCAAGGAAAGAAAGCGAGAUGGAUUUGGUAGACCUAAUACUGGCAUGUGUGUCAGUGUGCUUGUGUGUGAGUGUGUGGGUUCAGAAUACCUGUGAUAGAAAUCAACAACACAUCCAUAUGUUUCUGUGAAUGGGAAAUCAAAUGAACAACUUUGAUUGUGUGUUUUUAACAGUCAAAGACAUCAUAUAUGUUGGUGCCCACCUGUGCUAUUUCUAGAACACAGUUCAGCUCAGUCUAGUCAAUGUGACGCUAAUCAAUCUGAUCACAGAACAGCAUGUUUGCAGGCUCCCUUGAAAGAGCUGCCAGGAGGGAAAUUGUUUUUUGCCACAGUGGUGGAGUUCAUAUAACCUUGUCAAAGCAAAGGAAGUGAAUUAACAGUCAGUUGAUGUACCUGAGACCCCAUUUAAAAGCAAGCAUUGUUUAUAUUAGACACACGAAAGUUGAUGGAAUAUUGGCAUUCAAAUUGCAGAAUAAAAUACCCCUAUUUCUGUUUUUUAAUUAAAAAAUCUUACAAUCGGAUAUCAUUGUGAUGCCUCUAUCCAAGCAUGUCCCGUUGUGUGUUUAUUGUGAUAUCCACAACUGUGGGAUAGAAGUUCUUACCACAUCCACAGUCCAUUAUAUAUAAUGUUGACAGCUUAAAAAGUGUAUGUGUUUUUAUGAAUUAAUACACACUGUUUUGAAAUAAGCAAUCGAAAUCAGCAAAAUAAAAUAAAAUAUGUUUACAAAUACAUAUCCUGCAACAGGUGAUUAGGACAUGGAGUAGUCGUGUUGGACAAUUAUUCCUGUGGAGUCACAGUGAGACAUUUUCAGUCUUGUGUGUGGGGACACGUCGCAGUUUCAUGGGAAGCGGUGUGUUAAUGAGUGCAGUGUUUACAGAAGAAAACAAGGGCUCUUUUAGCAGAAUAAUAUGAUUGUGAACAAACGCAGGCCUGGGGCUGGUGGAAAUAACCUGUGGAGAUGAGUUACACCAUGCCAGCAUCGUGCCUUAAAACUGCUGUAAAUAAACACGAUAUAUCGGGUGUUCAUAUAUGGCCUGAUCUAUAGCAUUUAGGCAAUACAGGGUGUGUUUCGUUGUGGGAUAUCGCAGUGCCUCUGGCUAUGGGUCAAUUUCAAAGACAAAACUACUUAUAAAGAGAACCCUGGCUAUGCUCCAAGAUAUCGCCAUGGCUACGACAUCACAUAGCGUAUUGAAAUAAAUAGGAUGAUCCUUGCAGUUGUAUAAUAAUCCAUUUUAAUCCUAGGCCAUCCAUAACGGGACAUCACUAUCAUACUAUAGUGAUAAAAUGUGUCAGAUUUUGUUUUGUAUUUAAUGCAUAUUUUUAAUUAUAAUAAAAGUAAAAGUAAUUGAGAAACUGAUAAUAAUUAGCUGAAAUAUCCCAGCUCAUUGUUAAUAUAGUACUUACCAGUUUAUUAAUUACUUUAUUAAGUAUUGAUUCUCCUUGGAUAUAGAGUUGUUUGCUUUUUUAUUAUUAUUUGAAUAUAUGAAAUUAUGUUUUGCCUUGACAAAUGGUUUAUCAACAGCUGUGUACACCUUACCAUA